rnacentral:rRNA from 1 species
UACAGAGGGGGCAAGCGUUGUUCGGAAUUACUGGGCGUAAAGGGCGCGUAGGCGGCCUGUUAAGUCGAACGUGAAAUCCCCGGGCUCAACCCGGGAACUGCGUCCGAUACUGGCGGGCUUGAGACCGGGAGAGGAGGGUGGAAUACCCAGUGUAGAGGUGAAAUUCGUAGAUAUUGGGUGGAACACCGGUGGCGAAAGCGGCUCUCUGGCCCGGAUCUGACGCUGAGGCGCGAAGCGUGGGAGCAAACAGG